rnacentral:tRNA from 1 species
CAAAGUACAGCAUGAUCUAUGCAUCUCUUUUACACUGAGAAGAUAAUAUUUUUACUAUUUACUUUGC